UACGGAGGGUGCGAGCGUUAAUCGGAAUUACUGGGCGUAAAGGGUACGCAGGCGGGAUUUUAAGUGAGAUGUGAAAUCCCCGGGCUCAACUUGGGAAUAGCAUUUCAGACUAGGAGUCUAGAGUAGUUUAGGGGGGGGUAGAAUUCCACGUGUAGCGGUGAAAUGCGUAGAGAUGUGGAGGAAUACCGAAGGCGAAGGCAGCCCCUUGGGAAUGUACUGACGCUCAUGUGCGAAAGCGUGGGGAGCAAACAGG
rnacentral:rRNA from 1 species